rnacentral:rRNA from 1 species
UACGUAGGGGGCUAGCGUUGUCCGGAAUCAUUGGGCGUAAAGCGCGUGUAGGCGGCCCGAUAAGUCCGCUGUGAAAGUCCAGGGCUCAACCCUGGGAUGCCGGUGGAUACUGUCGGGCUCGAGUCCGGAAGAGGCGAGUGGAAUUCCUGGUGUAGCGGUGAAAUGCGCAGAGUAUCAGGAGGAACACCAAUGGCGAAGGCAGCUCGCUGGGACGUGACUGACGCUGAGACGCGAAAGCGUGGGGAGCAAACAGG